CAGCCGCCGCGGUAAUACAGAGGGUGCGAGCGUUAAUCGGAUUUACUGGGCGUAAAGCGUGCGUAGGCGGCUUUUUAAGUCGGAUGUGAAAUCCCUGAGCUUAACUUAGGAAUUGCAUUCGAUACUGGGAAGCUAGAGUAUGGGAGAGGAUGGUAGAAUUCCAGGUGUAGCGGUGAAAUGCGUAGAGAUCUGGAGGAAUACCGAUGGCGAAGGCAGCCAUCUGGCAUAAUACUGACGCUGAGGUACGAAAGCAUGGGGAGCAAACAGGAUUAGAUACCCCGGUAGUCCCUGUCUCUUAUAC
rnacentral:rRNA from 1 species